rnacentral:misc_RNA from 1 species
AAAUUAUUUUCCACGAAAGAUCUAUACCACGAGGUGAGAGUAUGAUCUGCGCACACUCUAUUUGGUAAUAAUUUUAAUUAGCUGCCGGAAACAAUGGAGUCAACGUUUUCUUGCAAGGAUAUGGCCUUCUUAAUUACACCCUUUCUGCACUCUCUAACACCAGAAUCAAUUCCACGAAUGGAGUCCAGCUUGAAAAGCAGAGACAUUAACGUUUCAUUCACCCGUACCCUUUCCAUUUCGUCUCUCCGAAUCAACUCCGCCGUUUCGCCGAAUAAAAGCUUCCGUUCAAUCUCAUCCACCUCUCUUCGUAUUGACAUAAUUCUCUUCACGUUUUUCCUCACCAUAUAACCACGAAAUACCUUCUGGAUCCUUAACGCUGAAGCAGAUGUUCUAUCAGGCGCCUCCGCCUGCGCCAACUCAUCAGGUUUCUGUGACCGAUCUGGAACGGAACUGACGGAGUGGACCGGAAUCUGAACGACCUUCGUUGCCGGCUUUAUUCCGGCAGGUUUCUCGUGGACCGAUUGUACUGGUUUUCCUCUCGAGGAACAGCGACGGCG